GAACGGGUGAGUAACACGUGAGUAAUCUGCCCCUAGCUCUGGGAUAGCUCCGGGAAACCGGGAUUAAUACCGGAUACGACCACUUUAGACAUCUGUUGUGGUUGAAAGAAUUUCGGCUAGGGAUGAACUCGCGGCCUAUCAGCUUGUUGGUGAGGUAACGGCCCACCAAGGCGACGACGGGUAGCCGGCCUGAGAGGGCGACCGGCCACACUGGGACUGAGACACGGCCCAGACUCCUACGGGAGGCAGCAGUGGGGAAUAUUGCGCAAUGGGCGAAAGCCUGACGCAGCGACGCCGCGUGGGGGAUGAAGGCCUUCGGGUUGUAAACCCCUUUCAGCAGGGACGAAGCGAAAGUGACGGUACCUGCAGAAGAAGCGCCGGCUAACUACGUGCCAGCAGCCGCGGUAACACGUAGGGCGCAAGCGUUGUCCGGAAUUAUUGGGCGUAAAGGGCGCGUAGGCGGUGUUGUAAGUCACCUGUGAAACCUCUAGGUUAACCUAGAGCCUGCAGGCGAAAUUGCAAUGCUGGAGGGGUGGGAAGAGGUGCGUGGG
rnacentral:rRNA from 1 species